rnacentral:rRNA from 1 species
CCUUGAAAUACCACCCUUUAAUGUUUGAUGUUCUAACGUUGGCCCGUUAUCCGGGUUGCGGACAGUGUCUGGUGGGUAGUUUGACUGGGGCGGUCUCCUCCUAAAGAGUAACGGAGGAGCACGAAGGUUGGCUAAUCCUGGUCGGACAUCAGGAGGUUAGUGCAAUGGCAUAAGCCAGCUUGACUGCGAGCGUGACGGCGCGAGCAGGUGCGAAAGCAGGUCAUAGUGAUCCGGUGGUUCUGAAUGGAAGGGCCAUCGCUCAACGGAUAAAAGGUACUCCGGGGAUAACAGGCUGAUACCGCCCAAGAGUUCAUAUCGACGGCGGUGUUUGGCACCUCGAUGUCGGCUCAUCACAUCCUGGGGCUGAAGUAGGUCCCAAGGGUAUGGCUGUUCGCCAUUUAAAGUGGUACGCGAGCUGGGUUUAGAACGUCGUGAGACAGUUCGGUCCCUAUCUGCCGUGGGCGCUGGAGAACUGAGGGGGGCUGCUCCUAGUACGAGAGGACCGGAGUGGACGCAUCACUGGUGUUCGGGUUGUCAUGCCAAUGGCACUGCCCGGUAGCUAAAUGCGGAAGAGAUAAGUGCUGAAAGCAUCUAAGCACGAAACUUGCC